UAAAUAAAGGCAACAGUAGUAUACCGCUGUUCAAAACUCAUAAAUCCAUGGACAAAAAACAAAAUCGGGGUAACAAACUAAAACCGAGGGAAACGCAUUAAAUAUAAGAGGAGAACAACGACAAAACACCGAAACGCAACAGCACACAGAAACGGACCAAGCAACAGACAAAACAACACGAGAAUAACACAUAUAACAUCAAAACCAAAUAUAUGAAUUUGGGAUAGACAAGUACCGUGCCACGUCUUAUCUCAAAAAUAAGAGAAAACACAAACGACUCAACGUUAAAAUGCAACACACACACAGAAACGAACAAUAUUAUAACAAUGGCCAUCUUCCUGACUUGGUACAGGACACUUUUAAAGGGGAAUAAAAGUGGUGGGUUGAACCUGGUUUUAUGGCAUGCCAAACCUCGCAC
rnacentral:lncRNA from 1 species